UCCGGGAGAAAUUAUUUUAAUGACACAGGAGAAACAAGCCAGAAGAAUCUUUUAUUUUUUAAUGUAUUACUCUAUAGAAACAGUCUAUGGAUACAUGAGCAGUUCUGACACUUUCAUCCAGGUUGUUUUCCUAAGUUAUAUACUGUCCCCCUGGCACACUUGCUGGCUAAUGCUGGCAAACGUUAUGGUCACAGAGCAACCACCCCCCCCCCAAUAAAUGGAAAUCAUUGGAGGGUUUUUUUUUUUAUCACCUCAUGUAACCUGGAAGUUUGGGUCAGUCCUCAAGAAAGGAACUACUCAUAAGAAAUUUGGCUUUGUUCAAGUGAGAAAAAUCAUGUUUUCGCUAACACAUAUAGCUUGGCCCAAGGGAAGCAAAUAACGGGGACGUGAGUCAAGGCACAGACUGGGUGGUGGAGCAGCGGAGCUGAUCGGGUAAAUUCCACCUGGGGCUGGCUCUCUGGGAGCUCGGAUGACUGUUUGCCAAUUUCGUUUUAAUUUGGUCCUGAUCGAAUUGUGAACCUCAUUGUUACUACCAUUUUCCAGCCCAGUAGCAAGGCUCUUCUGUACCAGGAGGGAGCAGUCAGGCCUGGACAUCCCAGAUUUUGUUGGAAAGGAACAUCAUCUGCAGCUUCCCUGCUUAGAGCACCGAGGAUGAGAGGAGAAGGAAAGGCCCGCGGCAGACACAGAGGCUCUUCUUGUUUUCCCCUCAGCUCCGCUGUGAAAACGCAGCUGUGUCCCCGUGACUGUAGAGCAGAAAAGGCAGUGGAACCUCGUCAGACAGCCUGUGGGGAUGGCCGUCGGCAGUGAAAUCCUAUUAGAAAACACUUUCACGAAGGUCAUGUUUCUAUUCUGCCGACCACAGUGAGUGGUAUCCAGCAGAGGAAUGGUCGUCCUUCGUCAGCUCUAGCCUGACUCAGAAAUACUCGAUCCAUACGCAGAAUAUGACACAACGGACCCUAAUCAAGUUCCUGGUGCUUGUUGCAUGGUAUCAGUAUAAAUUGUUUCUCUUCAGUUCUUAAGAGCCACACACCCCUCAAGAGACCAAGGUCAGUGUUUGUUCAAACUUGAGUGCUUGCAAGUCACCCAAGAUCUCACCAAGGUGUUGGCUGAGAGUCCUGGUCUGGGUGGGGCUCUGAGAGACGACACGACACUCUGAGUCUCGAGGGUCAGGAAAAUCUACCAGGAUCUCACAUCUGAGGACGACAGGGCAUCUUUGGAAAAAACCGCUAGUGGAUGCAGACGUUGUACGAGUGCAAAACCGGCCGUAUGUAACCCAGGACUGUCCCGCUGAACCGAAGCACAGGUGUGGAGGUGGGUGACCGGCCAGUGCAGGGGCUCAGUUCACCAGCGCGUGCCUGGCGGUGCAGGCGGUCCACGUGGACUGUCAAGACCACAGUUCACUAUCGCUAAGGUGUUGUGAAUGGCUGGCUUUGACGGGUAGAGCUAUAUUUUCUUCAACUAAAUUUCCAUUAACAAAUACGUAUUUUUUAAACGGGUGGGUUGUUUUUUUGUUUUUUUUUUUUUUUAAAAUAAGCCAGAACCCAGUUUCCUACCUUUCAGGCAGAGACACUGUCACCUCCACUCUGUAUACGGAGCACCCGUGUCCUGGAGGAGGGGCCAUGGCCUCACCUGCCAAGUAGCUGUUAAGCAGAAACUAGGAAGCAGAACUGAAGUUCUCAUCUCUUGCUACUAAACUGUACUAUGGGACAAGACAUAUUCAUUUUUCUUUGUCUUUUUAAAAGGGCAAGACUAUUAGUGAUAAUAAAAUUCAGGGAAAACAUUGAUUUUGGGCUUAUCAUCUUGAAAGCUAAAUUUUAAUAAGUCAAUUUUAAUAAAAACUAGUAUAAUUA